AACCUUUAGCCAAACAAGUAUUAAAGGCAACGCCUGCCCAGUGAACAAUUAAACGGCCGCGGUACCCUAACCGUGCAAAGGUAGCGUAAUCACUUGUCUAUUAAUUGUAGACCCGUAUGAAAGGCAAAAUGAGGGCCUAACUGUCUCUUAUAAUAAAUCAAUUAAACUGAUCUCCCAGUACAAAAGCUGGAAUACCAACAUAAGACCAGAAGACCCUGUGAAGCUUAAACUAAACUAUUAAAACACAUAAUAACUACUUUCGGUUGGGGCGACCUUGGAAAAAAAAAGAACUUCCAAAAAUACACGGAUUAACCCGAAUAACACAGGCCAACAAGCCAAACCAAUAGACCCAGCAAAGCUGAUAAUUGAACCAAGUUACUCCAGGGAUAACAGCGCUAUCUUCCUCAAGAGCCCAUAUCAAAAGGAAGGUUUACGACCUCGAUGUUGGAUCAGGACAUCCUAAUGGUGCAGCCGCUAUUAAGGGUUCGUUUGUUCAACGAUUAACAGUCCC
rnacentral:rRNA from 1 species